AUGGGAACGCGAAGAACCUUACCUACUCUUGACAUCCAGAGAACUUUCCAGAGAUGGAUUGGUGCCUUCGGGAACUCUGAGACAGGUGCUGCAUGGCUGUCGUCAGCUCGUGUUGUGAAAUGUUGGGUUAAGUCCCGCAACGAGCGCAACCCUUAUCCUUUGUUGCCAGCGGUCCGGCCGGGAACUCAAAGGAGACUGCCAGUGAUAAACUGGAGGAAGGUGGGGAUGACGUCAAGUCAUCAUGGCCCUUACGAGUAGGGCUACACACGUGCUACAAUGGCGCAUACAAAGAGAAGCGACCUCGCGAGAGCAAGCGGACCUCAUAAAGUGCGUCGUAGUCCGGAUUGGAGUCUGCAACUCGACUCCAUGAAGUCGGAAUCGCUAGUAAUCGUAGAUCAGAAUGCUACGGUGGAUACGUUCCCGGGUCUUGUACACACCG
rnacentral:rRNA from 1 species